GACGAACGCUGGCGGCGUGCUUAACACAUGCAAGUCGAACGGAAAGGCCCUGCUUUUGUGGGGUGCUCGAGUGGCGAACGGGUGAGUAACACGUGAGUAACCUGCCCUUGACUUUGGGAUAACUUCAGGAAACUGGGGCUAAUACCGGAUAGGAGCUCCGGCUGCAUGGUGGGGGUUGGAAGGUUUCGGCGGUUGGGGAUGGACUCGCGGCUUAUCAGCUUGUUGGUGGGGUAGUGGCUUACCAAGGCUUUGACGGGUAGCCGGCCUGAGAGGGUGACCGGCCACAUUGGGACUGAGAUACGGCCCAGACUCCUACGGGAGGCAGCAGUGGGGAAUAUUGCACAAUGGGCGGAAGCCUGAUGCAGCAACGCCGCGUGCGGGAUGACGGCCUUCGGGUUGUAAACCGCUUUCGCCUGUGACGAAGCGUGAGUGACGGUAAUGGGUAAAGAAGCACCGGCUAACUACGUG
rnacentral:rRNA from 1 species